GACAGAGGAUGCAAGCGUUAUCCGGAAUGAUUGGGCGUAAAGCGUCUGUAGGUGGCUUUUUAAGUCCGCCGUCAAAUCCCAGGGCUCAACCCUGGACAGGCGGUGGAAACUACCAAGCUGGAGUACGGUAGGGGCAGAGGGAAUUUCCGGUGGAGCGGGUGAAAUGCGUAGAGAUCCGGAGGAACACCAAAGGCGAAGGCAGUGUCCUGGGGAGUACCUGACGCUCAGGUGCGAAAGCCAGGGGAGCGGAACGGG
rnacentral:rRNA from 1 species